UUUACAUUUGAGUGAGUGGCGAACUGGUGAGUAACACGUGGGAAACCUGCCCAGAAGCGGGGGAUAACACCUGGAAACAGAUGCUAAUACCGCAUAACAACUUGGACCGCAGGUCCGAGCUUGAAAGAUGGCUUCGGCUAUCACUUUUGGAUGGUCCCGCGGCGUAUUAGCUAGAUGGUGGGGUAACGGCUCACCAUGGCAAUGAUACGUAGCCGACCUGAGAGGGUAAUCGGCCACAUUGGGACUGAGACACGGCCCAAACUCCUACGGGAGGCAGCAGUAGGGAAUCUUCCACAAUGGACGAAAGUCUGAUGGAGCAACGCCGCGUGAGUGAAGAAGGGUUUCGGCUCGUAAAACUCUGUUGUUAAAGAAGAACAUAUCUGAGAGUAACUGUUCAGGUAUUGACGGUAUUUAACCAGAAAGCCACGGCUAACUACGUGCCAGCAGCCGCGGUAAUACGUAGGUGGCAAGCGUUGUCCGGAUUUAUUGGGCGUAAAGCGAGCGCAGGCGGUUUUUUAAGUCUGAUGUGAAAGCCUUCGGCUCAACCGAAGAAGUGCAUCGGAAACUGGGAAACUUGAGUGCAGAAGAGGACAGUGGAACUCCAUGUGUAGCGGUGAAAUGCGUAGAUAUAUGGAAGAACACCAGUGGCGAAGGCGGCUGUCUGGUCUGUAACUGACGCUGAGGCUCGAAAGUAUGGGUAGCAAACAGGAUUAGAUACCCUGGUAGUCCAUACCGUAAACGAUGAAUGCUAAGUGUUGGAGGGUUUCCGCCCUUCAGUGCUGCAGCUAACGCAUUAAGCAUUCCGCCUGGGGAGUACGGCCGCAAGGCUGAAACUCAAAGGAAUUGACGGGGGCCCGCACAAGCGGUGGAGCAUGUGGUUUAAUUCGAAGCUACGCGAAGAACCUUACCAGGUCUUGACAUACUAUGCAAAUCUAAGAGAUUAGACGUUCCCUUCGGGGACAUGGAUACAGGUGGUGCAUGGUUGUCGUCAGCUCGUGUCGUGAGAUGUUGGGUUAAGUCCCGCAACGAGCGCAACCCUUAUUAUCAGUUGCCAGCAUUAAGUUGGGCACUCUGGUGAGACUGCCGGUGACAAACCGGAGGAAGGUGGGGAUGACGUCAAAUCAUCAUGCCCCUUAUGACCUGGGCUACACACGUGCUACAAUGGAUGGUACAACGAGUUGCGAACUCGCGAGAGUAAGCUAAUCUCUUAAAGCCAUUCUCAGUUCGGAUUGUAGGCUGCAACUCGCCUACAUGAAGUCGGAAUCGCUAGUAAUCGCGGAUCAGCAUGCCGCGGUGAAUACGUUCCCGGGCCUUGUACACACCGCCCGUCACACCAUGAGAGUUUGUAACACCCAAAG
rnacentral:rRNA from 1 species